UACAGAGGGUGCAAGCGUUAAUCGGAAUUACUGGGCGUAAAGGGCGCGUAGGUGGGACGACAAGUGAGAGGUGAAAGGUCUGGGCUUAACCCGGAAGUGACUUUCAAACGGUCGUUCUAGAGUCGAGGAGAGGGAAGUAGAAUUUCCGGUGUAGCGGUGAAAUGCGUAGAUAUCGGAAGGAAUACUCGUGGCGAAGGCGACUUCCUGGCCAAAGACUGACACUGAGGCGCGAAGGCGUGGGGAGCGAACAGG
rnacentral:rRNA from 1 species